rnacentral:lncRNA from 1 species
AGAGUUCAGUUCGCCGCUUGCUUGCACUAUUUUCUAUUCCAAUUCUAUGUCAAAGUAAUCUCGUGGAGUUCCGACUUAACCAUUCGACUCGAAAUAAGUUUGAUUCAGCCAACACCGAUAAGUACUAUCAAUCAGAAGCCACAGAUAUAUAUGUCCUGUUUUCUUUUAGGGAGAUAGAGAAGUUGUUGUUCGAGAAAAGUACCCAAGAUAAGAUACUGGAGAAGAAGAGGAAUAAAUAAGCUAUAUCCACGGAGUAGUAAGAAGAUAGAAAAAAGAGAGAGUAAGUAGAACGAUCGGCUGCGGGAAAGUCAACCUGAUAUUAAGCAGGCGUUGCACUUGCAGAGGCGGAUGCACUAGCUGGACGGAGGCAGAGGAGAAAAGACAGAGGCAGACGAACUCAACACUUGAUAAGGACAGAGGCCCAGCCCUGUCAUAUAAGUGAAUUCUAUUUGUGGUGAGUACAGAGACCCCGAAAUCGUUGUUUCUAUUUGCUACUUUACUUAGAGCUGCGAGAUACCAUGACUUCUUGCCCUUGCUUGUGCCAGUGUUGUUUACGAGAAUGUCCGUCUUCCCGCUCCAAUAAGUAAAGCUCCUUACGCACUAAACUCAAUUACUCCCUAACAUAUGCUUCAUGAACGAGACGAGGAUUAUUGUGUUUGUUGUCGUGUAGUUCCUUUAAGUGUUGUCUAUGAUAAGAGAGAUUAUGAUGUUUCAUGUAUUUGAGUGUUAUGUUGUCAUGUAUUUGAGUGUUGUCUUUGUCUACACGAGAUAGGAUAACCAGAAUAUGGAUAAGAUUGGAGAGUAAGAGAUAGAUGCUUAAUGGAAAGUCAAGUAAUAGAGAUAGAUGGAAAGUCAAGUAAUAGAGAUAGAUGAUGAAUGGAAAGUUAUUAUCUGGAAGAAAAGGAAGACAAGAAAAGAAAUCAAUCCGAGGAAGCUAGCAGAGGUGUUACCAACCGAGGAAGCUAGCAGAGGUGUUACCAACCAGAGAGAGCGGAGGAAGUCAGAUGGGAGUUGGCUACUUAGUCUGGAUGCGCCAAGUAACGUAUAAUGUUACGCGGCAGCCCUGAAUAACUUGUUAUAACGAAUUAUGACCAAGUCCUGUUUUCAGUGGUAAGUGAGUAGAAUUCUUAUCUUAGAUCCAGAUGUCUUCGUUGCGGUAAGUUCAUCUAUUCCAGUACUUAGGGGUAGUUGUUUCAUGAAGUGACUAGGCUCGGGUAGUUUACCUAGGCUCGGGUAGUUUACUUACUUUGUGGGGUAGACUUGUGGAAGAAAAGGAAGAAAAUCAUCAAAACAAUAAAUUAGAAAAUGAAAAAAAGUAGAAAAGUCGUACAAUUUCUUCUAUACUAACUAAGUAGACAAACAGUAGGGAAAUAGUAGGGAAUAAUCUAAUAUAAAUAAGCUCUUUUCAAAGACGUCGGUUAACCAUCAAAGAACGGGAGCAAAGCCAAGAUAAUCAUAUAUAGAAGAAGAGAAGAACCAGUGCGGUAUCAAAGAACAGGCUAAAGUAUGAGAUCGCCAAAAGAGCAUGUGGUAUUGUAUAGAAACCCUUAUAGUAUGUUUCGGGUGCUCAAACUCAAGAAAGAAGAAAAGAAGUAGGGUCGGUCGGGCUUAUAAGAGUUAGGGUCGGGAAGCAGUUUAGGAGGUGGGCAAGUAGGAGUUACAGAAUUGACCUCAGUAGCCGGGAGAGGAGAAAAGAGUGAAAAGAGAAGAGAUGGGCCAGAGUCGAGGGAGAUGAGAGCCAGAAGUGGAGGAGACAGAGUUCACAGAGCAUAAGUUGAAAGCUGCCCUGAAGUUAAUGGUAUGAGUUUAAUCCCAAACAAGUAUACGAGUAGUUGCAUCUGUCUUUGUUGACAGAGCCAGAGGACAGGUCCCGUAUAGAGGUUCACUCAAAGGUCAGAGAUUGGACUCCGGUAUUUCACUCAUACUUUAGGGUGAUUCCGAGUGGCUUGGCUUCUUACUUACUAUGUGCUCGGGACGGGAGCCAUAACAGGAUUAGUUUACAGAGUCGAAGCUAACUCUCUCUGCUCUAGCUGGUUUACAGAGUCGAAGCUAACUCUCUCUGCUCUAGCUGUUAGUAACGAGUCCUGUCUUCG